rnacentral:rRNA from 1 species
GAUGAACGCUGACAGAAUGCUUAACACAUGCAAGUCUUUGGCGAAUCUGUGCUUGCACAGGCUAGCCAAGGCGGACGGGUGAGUAACGCGUAAAGAACUUGCCCAGCAGACAGGGAUAACAGACGGAAACGACUGAUAACACCUGAUACAGUUGCCGGCACGCAUGUGCCUGGCAAUGAAAAGAGAUGCUGCAGGAGAGCUUUGCGUCCUAUUAGCUUGUUGGUGAGGUGACGGCUCACCAAGGCGAUGAUAGGUAGCCGGCCUGAGAGGGUGAACGGCCACAAGGGGACUGAGAUACGGCCCUUACUCCUACGGGAGGCAGCAGUGGGGAAUAUUGGACAAUGGGGGCAACCCUGAUCCAGCAAUUCUGUGUGCACGAAGAAGGUUUUCGGAUUGUAAAGUGCUUUCAGCAGGGAAGAAGAAAGUGACGGUACCUGCAGAAGAAGCGACGGCUAAAUACGUG